GCCGCUCGGCCCAGCCCCGGGCGCCCGCGGCGCUUUGCACACAUCGCCGCGGCCGGGGGCGACGCGCUCCGGGCAGCUUGCACCCGGCGCGCUCCCGGCCGAUGCGCCCAGCCCUGCUUUGCGCCGGGCUCGCCCCUCGCCCAAACGUCGGCGACCGUGUGCAGGGCGUUUGCGCCCGCUCCCUCUCCCCGCCGCAGCGUAAAUAGGAGGCAGAGGCCACUCGGUGGCAAACCCGCUGCCUGACGGCUGAGGAGCUCCGUGCCGCGGCGCCGUCCACGAGCCAUGGACACCCCAGACUGCGUCUGCRAGGCCGGUGACUCCUGCGCCUGYGCGCCCAGCUGCGCGUGCAAGGCCUGCAAGUGCGCGCCGUGCCGGAGAAGCUGCUGCUCCUGCUGCCCGGCCGGCUGCAAGAAGUGUGUCGCGGGCUGCAUCUGCAAAGAACCGGCGUCUCCAAAAUGUAGCUGCUGCCAGUGAUGUGCCUGGGGGCUUUCUGGUCCCUCGGGAAUAUUUUCUACGUGAAAACUCUGUUUUUUGUAAUUUUUUUAGCGCUGCGGUAGCUGCUCUCGGUCUCGGUGCACCUGUGCGUGGCAGGAAGGCGAUGGCAAUAAAGGCUUGAGG
rnacentral:lncRNA from 1 species